CUGGGAUGGGAGGCAGCUUUCUUUGGGGAUCAGGGACACUGGUCUGGGUACCUCUCAUUCCCACAGGCACCUCCUGUUGCAGGAACGGGGUCAGGGUGCAAGGUAGCUAAGCAGUCUCAAAAGCCUGAGGUCUGACCAGAUUUGUGAAGUGCCUGGAGAAAAGAUGGGGGAAGGGAUAUUAGCAUGACACCUCCAGAUGAGUGGGAUGGGGGCAAGGGUGGCCUUAUGCACCCACCUCUCCACCCCUGAGACACCAGGCUGAUCAGAAAGCACCACCCCUUGGGGAUUCCGGAGAUGCCCUUGACAUCCACGGGAGGAGGAAGACUUUGACCUUGACUUGACUUUGGCUCAGAGGAGGCCUGGCUUUUUCUUUCCACAGCAGCAGCAGCGCCUGGCAGUCUGCAUCAUUUCGCCACAGUGUGAAACCAUUGGCUGAUGUAUAAAGUGGAAGCCCCAGGAACCUCUCAAGGCCCAGCUUCAGCCUCACCUUCCCUGUGGUCUUCUUCAAGCAGACCCAUACCAAGCUCUCUGUGCUUUGGAAACUGCCAGUGAGGUGAAGUGGGGAGGCAUCGGAGCGACAGCCACGUUGUAUGCCUGCUGCACGAGCCAGACCGCAGGACAAUACUCAAUGAGAGGCACCAACAUCCAUCCUGGCUGAGCUGAUGAUGGUGAGAGGCCACAGAGCCAUGAAAAUGACUUGGAGCAGCCUCCAUGUAUUCCUCAGGGUUGAAUCAUUGUGUGCACCACAGAGCAUUUGCUUUGUAAAAAAGCUAACACUGUGAAAAAUGGGGUAGGCACUUCCUGUUUUGACCAGGAACAAAUGCAAACCAGACCCUGCUCCUCUCACCAGGCAGAGCUUGCUCUUUCAAUUCAGAGAUAUCUUCAAGGACCCAAUUAUGCUGUGGUGCGGAAUGGAGCAUGUAUGUAACUGAGGUUCCUGCCAAAGACAUCAUCUCCUGGCUGAAUGGCAAGACUGGCCAGGACACCAGGAAACUGAGACUGAUUGGACACACAAGAAUGUGAGCUGGGUAAGCAGAAUGAAGGCCCUGGGCAUAACUUGAACACCCGAGGAACUUGAACCCAAGGCUGGCACAAAAGCCAGAAGGUGUUACUCUCCACCAGCUCAGGGAUUGUGAAGAUCUCUGUGCAGACUCCACUCUGCGGUUGGACAGCAUCCCUGAGACAUGCAUUUUGGAAAUUGUGAUCAACCAGAAUCCAGAACACGCUGUGCUUAAUGGAGUGAACUGCCUGUGAAGCGCAGGUGUGAGGGGCGGAUGAUAAGUGACAGUGCCGGUGCCCCCAGCGCCCUUUUACCUGAUGGCUCACCCGGCCUACAGCUGCGCCCUUCCCUUUGAAUCGUCUUGGGUAACGGGUGCUGCUUUGGAAAUGCCUGGAAGGUCAUGUCCUUUGUCUGGGGAUGGCUUCCAGCUGUGGUUGACUGAUAGCAGGGGGCACAGAAGGCCAGACACAACUUGCCUCAGGUGGGCCGACUCUGAGGGUUUGUUCGGCCUCCACGUGGACUUCAGCUGAGCCUGCAUCUUUGCUUGGCUUUUCCCACUGGCCUAUUCUGCUUCCCUCUCCUUAAGGGUUCUCCCAGGAGAACUCCCUUAAUAAAUCACUUGCACAAGGA